CGUGAAUUCAUCUCCGGGGGUAGAGCACUGUUUCGGCUAGGGGGCCAUCCCGGCUUACCAACCCGAUGCAAACUGCGAAUACCGGAGAAUGUUAUCACGGGAGACACACGGCGGGUGCUAACGUCCGUCGUGAAGAGGGAAACAACCCAGACCGCCAGCUAAGGUCCCAAAGUCAUGGUUAAGUGGGAAACGAUGUGGGAAGGCCCAGACAGCCAGGAUGUUGGCUUAGAAGCAGCCAUCAUUUAAAGAAAGCGUAAUAGCUCACUGGUCGAGUCGGCCUGCGCGGAAGAUGUAACGGGGCUAAACCAUGCACCGAAGCUGCGGCAGCGACACUGUGUGUUGUUGGGUAGGGGAGCGUUCUGUAAGCCUGUGAAGGUGUGUCGUGAGGCAUGCUGGAGGUAUCAGAAGUGCGAAUGCUGACAUAAGUAACGAUAAAGCGGGUGAAAAGCCCGCUCGCCGGAAGACCAAGGGUUCCUGUCCAACGUUAAUCGGGGCAGGGUGAGUCGACCCCUAAGGCGAGGCCGAAAGGCGUAGUCGAUGGGAAACGGGUUAAUAUUCCCGUACUUGGUGUUACUGCGAAGGGGGGACGGAGAAGGCUAUGUUGGCCGGG
rnacentral:rRNA from 1 species